rnacentral:rRNA from 1 species
UACGUAGGGGGCAAGCGUUGUCCGGAAUCAUUGGGCGUAAAGCGCGUGUAGGCGGCCCGGUAAGUCCGCUGUGAAAGUCGGGGGCUCAACCCUCGAAUGCCGGUGGAUACUGUCGGGCUAGAGUGCGGGAGAGGCGAGUGGAAUUCCUGGUGUAGCGGUGAAAUGCGCAGAUAUCAGGAAGAACACCCGUGGCUAAGGCGGCUCUCUAGUACGGUACUGACGCUGAGACGCGAAAGCGUGGGGAGCGAACAGG